rnacentral:rRNA from 1 species
GACGAACGCUGGCGGCGUGCUUAACACAUGCAAGUCGAACGGUGAAGCCCCAGCUUGCUGGAGUGGAUCAGUGGCGAACGGGUGAGUAACACGUGAGCAACCUGCCCCUGACUCUGGAAUAAGCGCUGGAAACGGCGUCUAAUACUGGAUACGAGAAGGGUCCGCAUGGGCACUUUCUGGAAAGUUCUUCGGUUGGGGAUGGGCUCGCGGCCUAUCAGCUUGUUGGUGAGGUAAUGGCUCACCAAGGCGACGACGGGUAGCCGGCCUGAGAGGGCGACCGGCCACACUGGGACUGAGACACGGCCCAGACUCCUACGGGAGGCAGCAGUGGGGAAUAUUGCACAAUGGGCGAAAGCCUGAUGCAGCGACGCCGCGUGAGGGAUGACGGCCUUCGGGUUGUAAACCUCUUUCAGCAGGGAAGAAGCGAAAGUGACGGUACCUGCAGAAGAAGCACCGGCUAACUACGUG